GCUCUCUGAAGUAAAGGUGCUGACCUUUGGGCAGCGUUACUCCCGGGUCGAGUGAGGAAGUGCAAGGUGUAGGUGGCACUCUGGCUGGCCGUGUCCUCUCAGCGUGGCACACCCGGUAGCUCCACAACGUCAGGAGCUGGACUAUGCUUUUACCCCAGUGCUGGAGCGUGCACACUGCCUGCACCCAAGGAGUGUCUUGGCGGGCGUGCCCUGCUGUUGCCGACCCUGAAAGGCUGACCUCUGCUGGCCAGGACAGGCACUAUGCCUACCCGGUGGCCACCACCCCAGGACAGCAACGGAGGGAUGUCUUUCCAUUAGCCUAGAAGCCUCUGCCCCAUCUCUCAGAGCACCCUGGCUAGUGGGCCAAGGAGUGAUCAGUAUCUGGAGCACAGCGGGGACUCAACCGUGUACAAAGAGUGGGAAUGCGCUGCAGACCUCCUGCCUGGGUGGUCUCAACCUCAUCCAGCUUUUAUCGAGUAUUCCCCACCUAGCAAAUUUAUAUUUUAAAUUGGAUUGAAGAGACAGAAGGCUGAUGGUUUACGGCAUCUACAAUUGGCAAAAUAUUGAAAAGAAUUACAAAGCCAAGUUAUGUGGAUCUCAUCCAGGAUGUCACACUGCGUUUGGUUGUCAAGUCUCCUUAGGCUCCUCUUGGGGGUGACCAUCUUCAGACUCUUCUUGUUUUGGAUGACCUUGACAGUUUUGAGUAGCACUGGUCAGGUGCUGUGAAAUCCAGGGUGGUCAUGGCUGGGGCAACAACUCCAAGAUGUCAUCAGAGUCUCUGGCAUCUUCUAUCUCUCUGCUUGGCCAAGUGGCUCUGCAAGUAGCUUCCACCCUCAAGGUUACCUCUUGGUCAUAAGAUAGCUACUGGAGCUCCAACCAUCAGGAUCACA